rnacentral:rRNA from 1 species
UACGAAGGGAGCUAGCGUUGUUCGGAAUCACUGGGCGUAAAGCGCACGUAGGCGGAUGUGUCAGUCAGGGGUGAAAUCCCGGAGCUCAACUUCGGAACUGCCUUUGAUACAGCACAUCUGGAGUCCGGAAGAGGUGGGUGGAAUUCCUAGUGUAGAGGUGAAAUUCGUAGAUAUUAGGAAGAACACCGGUGGCGAAGGCGACAUCCUGGACCGGUAUUGACGCUGAGGCGCGAAAGCCAGGGGAGCAAACGGG